CUCGACAACGGAUAUCUCAGCUCUUGCAUCAAUGAAGAACGUAGUGAAAUGCUAUACUUGGUGUGAAUUGCAAACUCCCGUGAACCAUUGAGUAUUUAAAGGCAAGUUGUGCCAAAAGCCUUCUAACCAAGGGGACGUCUUCUUGGGUAUCACG
rnacentral:rRNA from 1 species